rnacentral:rRNA from 1 species
AUGGAUUCUGAGGCUGAAUCUGAGGAUAAUGAGGAAGAGGAGGCAUCUGAGGAGUCUGAGUCAGGUGUGGCAAGUCUAGCUCUUGCUACCACAUUUGUCAGCAAGUCUAUCUUCAACUCUAAAGAAAAUGGCAACACCAACAACGCUGAUGAAGGCAAUGACAACUACGCUCCCACCUAUUGCUUCAUGGCAAAGGCUGCUAAGGUAACUAAAUACCCCUCCUCUGAAUCAAGUGAGGAUGAAUCUGAUGAAAAUCUUAAGCCUAACUACUCUAAACUUGCUAAGAUUGCUGUGAAACAACAAAAGGCUAUUGAAAAACUUCAAAACAUGCUAGACAAAAGUGAUGAUAUGUUGGGUGAUGAAAUGGACCGCACUAAAGACUUAACUGAAAAUCUUCAGAGACUUCAGUCUAAGUUUGACAACCUUCAAAGUCAUCAUAAAACUCUCUUAACUGAUCACGAGAAGCUUUCUUAUGAAUCUCUUCAAAGAAAGCAAGAUCUUGAGAAGCUAAGAGUGAGUUAUGAAGAUCUUUAG